UCAAAUAAGCUUGUAACCAUUUGCAACAACAAUAUUGCAGUGCCCAUGCUGUUUUUAAUUAAGUUGUGUUGUGUGUUAUCUCUUAUCAUUAUGAUAAGUUGAUGCAGUUGUAUGAUGUGCCAAUCAAAAAAGUGAAAGAAGCAUGGUAGAGUCAUUAAUUAAAUUUAGGUGAAACACCUGAUAGAUAUUAAUAAACAAGUAGUCAAAUUUAGUUGUCAAAAGAGCUUUUUGAGGAUCAGUUUUGCUAUAAAAGCACCAAAAUCGCUACUGAUCCUUACAGUACGUUUAUUUGGUGUUAGUGAACAACAGUAAAUAUGACGAAAGUUGUAAUUUUGUUGAUCCUUGUCAUUGCUGUGGCCUCAACCUUGGCCUACUCCACACCUCAUUUCCACCGCUUCCGCAAAGCCGACGUCGACCAAGCUGAAGUCUUCAGAUCCCUCUCCAACUUCUUCGACCAAUUGAGCGUCGAGGCCGCCAACAAUCCGGGAAAUCCGGGCGCUCCGGGAGCUCCGGCCCCUUAAUUUGUUUCAAAGUUCGAAUAAAUUUCAACAAUGAGA